UUGAGUUGUUGACACGGCCUGGGACAUGUGUAGUGCACUCUAGCCCAGAUGAAGACAGUCAGGCAGGAGUUCCUUUGAACCAGCAGUGGGCCAGUAAAGUUAACACAAUUCUGAAAGGGUGUGGAUUGCGUCCUAUUCAAGAUUCUGAGAUUGGUUUAGCUGUCCUCUAUUGUUCAACUCAACUGCAUUGCAAUCCUACAGUUUCCCAAAGCGGACUUAAUCUUUUGCAAGCUCCAGUACCUCAGUCUCUUGACACACAUGACAUUCUAGCCCACGAGACUCAAACACAGCUGCAGGCUUGUAAGAGACUUCCAAGAACAAAGGGGUUAGGAGAGAGAAGCAUCAUUGAUGAAACAAGACUUGAAAAAACAGAAAAUAA